GAUAGUGUAGCGCUAUAGCUACUCACAACGAGUGCGCCCGUACCGUACGAACAAUGCACAGUUAUAGCUUCCGUGCAUGCAAUGGCUGUAGAGGUCAGUGUGUGUAUUUAACGCAGUGCGUACAGAGUGUGUGUGCGUUGCGCUUAAAAUCUCAGAGACCGCAUCAUGUCUAUACAUGCGCAUCCGAAUGGGAAGUCAGUAUAAUCAUUGGCAGAGGGAAUGAGUUCGAUUUCGUCGACGGUGUGAUAUGGCAAGCCUCUGCUGGUGUAGUCUACCGUAUUUUGCAUUUAUUUAACUAGAGGAUGGUGUUGUCCGCACUCAGGCCGUCACAUGGGGUCUUGACCGUAUUGACCAGAGGUCCCUUCCUCUUGAUAACAACUACAACCCAAGCAGUGUGAUCGCCCUGAUGCUUCAAGAUGCCCCCACUGCUUCCCCGUCCGCCAUCUCAAGCGCCCUGCUCAACAAUGCUUCCACCGACAAGAUUAGUGACGUCAAGUCUCUCUCUCCAAACCUACUCCUCUACACCAACUAAUACCGCAGUCUCAGACGAACAAAACCGACACCAGGAGAGUGUUUCACAAAACUUGUCAUCAGUGACAAAUGACAGUUUUUGUUAUAAGCUACUGAAAUCCUUGCUUUGAUUGGUCAUCAGCAGAUUUGUCACUGACUUUUGUCAUUUGGUCAUUGAAAAUAGGCUUUGUGAAACACCCCCAGGCCUAUUAAACAAAAUGAUGUAUUACCCUAACGGCCCCAAGUAGGUCGCUUUGGAAUCAGUUUGGAGUCGGUUUUUUUAUCGGCAUGACUGAGGUAUAAUACCCCCAUACAGUCACACCGACAAGACCAACAUCACACGAACCAAAUUACAUAUUACCCCCUAAUAACAAAACAUAGGUUGCUUUGGAAUCGGUUUGGAAACGGUUUCGCGGUGUGACUAAAUAAGUGCACACCUUUCACUAACUGUAAUAAAUUCAAUUUUAAUGCACA